rnacentral:piRNA from 2 species
UGAAUGUAAACAGUGUGGUAAAGCCUUCA